rnacentral:rRNA from 1 species
GGCGAAGCUGAUCAUCCAUGCCGCGUGAGUGAAGAAGGCCUUCGGGUUGUAAAGCUCUUUCGGUGGGGACGAAAUGGUUUGUGCUAAUACCACGAACUGAUGACGGUACCCGAAGAAGAAGCACCGGCUAACUACGUGCCAGCAGCCGCGGUAAUACGUAGGGUGCAGGCGUUAAUCGGAAUUACUGGGCGUAAAGCGUGCGCAGGCGGUUUGCUAAGACAGAUGUGAAAUCCCCGGGCUUAACCUGGGAACUGCAUUUGUGACUGUAUGGCUGGAGUACGGUAGAGGGGAGUGGAAUUCCGCGUGUAGCAGUGAAAUGCGUAGAUAUGCGGAGGAACACCGAUGGCGAAGGCAGCUCCCUGGACCUGUACUGACGCUCAUGCACGAAAGCGUGGGGAGCAAACAGGAUUAGAUACCCUGGUAGUCCACGCCCUAAACGAUGUCAACUGGUUGUUGGGAGGGUUUCUUCUCAGUAACGAAGCUAACGCGUGAAGUUGACCGACUGGGGAGUACGGCCGCAAGGUUGAAACUCAGAGGAAUUGACGGGGAACCGCACAAGCG